CCGGAAUUGGAGUUAUUCAUGAUUCGAAUUACAUGUGAUGUUUUUUGUUUUUUCAUAUUUACAGGCAGAGUUGAGCUAUGUAUUAUUGGACGUCAUUCGAUUUUUUCUCGUGACUUAUAAUACUGCCAUGACAGAACUGUAGCUGUAGCGGGCAACACCAAUACGACACAUCAAGAAGGAGUCGCAUUUUGGGACCAUGUAGAACCAGCGGUAGAUCAACAUCGAGCACUUGUGAUUUUAGCAAUGCAAGACAGCUGCAUUUACAUGACAAUACAUGCAUUCACAAGUCACACCUUCUCUUGGACCGAGUGUUUCUUAGUAUUGUCAAUUGCAGGUAUGUCGGAUGUUUGUGGAGAAUGAAUUGUUAUAUAAUUGGUGAAGGCUGUAAUGCUUAUGCUUGGUAAAGAAGAUGAUUGCCAGAUAUAGGAAACAGUCUUUGACUUAGAAAUGUGGUGCUCGCUCUGCUUAAAAACAAUGAAUUUGCAUACUGCAUAGUCUUGGAAACUAAAAAAAAGCUUAGAGAUGUGUGCCGAGACAUGGAUAACCUACACUGGAAAUUAAGCAAGAAAAUGAAGAAAAAGAAAGAGAGGGAAGGGGAGAAAAGAGAGAGAUAUUCCAGCCGUUUCCCCCAAAAGGCUAGAGAUGAAGCUUAAAUGACUGGAGUUUCCGGCCACCCCAGACGGCUUAGCAAAGUACUUUUUUUUUUAGUUUUUUGAAUUUUGAUGUACCACCAUAAAGCAAAGAUGAUAUCCCGAUAUUCCGUGUCGCCCUUGCUUUGGAUAAGGAUUGAUGGUGAGCUACA